UAAUGCUUUGGGAUGCUAAUUUGUCUUUUUUUUGCUGCAGUCCUGUCUUCUGGGAAAAUGGACUUUACGACCAACCAAGGACACGGUUAAAUGUUUGAAAAAGAGGCGUAAGGACAGAUCACACAAUUUAAAGCCACUCUCUUUGUGUCGCUUGAAGGAUGCCGAUCGGUUUGAAAUCCUGCCAGCUCAAAGAAUUUCAUCAGUCUUGAUGCAGGUUCUCUGGGGGGCUGACGCUUAUCGCUUGCAGUCAUUUGGCAGGAGGCGAGGGACACCCCGGACAGGCCUGCAGUCCAUCACAGAGACACUCAGAGACACA